UUAAACGCAAGUAACUUAGCAACCCAGAAUGGAUUUCAGACAGGAAGUUGAGUUGCUCAGUGUGUGACUGAAGGCAGCACAUGAGGCAGGAGUUGUGGUUUCAUCAGCACACACUCUUCCAGCCCUUGCGGAGCUUUGAUUUUAAUUGCAAAAGCCAUGUCAAAGACACCACGGCCAAUGGAUGUUGGUAGGCUGAUAGUCCUUGUGCAAGAGAGGCCAUGCAUCUGGGAUACGCACAGUGAUGACUACCACGAUCGGUAUAAAAAAAGAUCAGGCCUGGGUGGAAAUAACCAAGGAGCUUUUUGAAUCCAGCUGGGAAAAAACACAUGGCAAAAGCCGCCAGAAUUUGGUGGAAGAUGUCAAGAAUCGUUGGCGGAGCUGCACGGACCAGUUCCGCAAGGAAAUGCUUCAACAUGCGAGGAGUGGGUCCGGGGCCACCAAGAAAAGGCCAUAUAUGUUC